GGUGAACGCUGGCGGCGUGCCUAAUACAUGCAAGUCGAGCGAACGGACGAGAAGCUUGCUUCUCUGAUGUUAGCGGCGGACGGGUGAGUAACACGUGGAUAACCUACCUAUAAGACUGGGAUAACUUCGGGAAACCGGAGCUAAUACCGGAUAAUAUUUUGAACCGCAUGGUUCAAAAGUGAAAGACGGUCUUGCUGUCACUUAUAGAUGGAUCCGCGCUGCAUUAGCUAGUUGGUAAGGUAACGGCUUACCAAGGCAACGAUGCAUAGCCGACCUGAGAGGGUGAUCGGCCACACUGGAACUGAGACACGGUCCAGACUCCUACGGGAGGCAGCAGUAGGGAAUCUUCCGCAAUGGGCGAAAGCCUGACGGAGCAACGCCGCGUGAGUGAUGAAGGUCUUCGGAUCGUAAAACUCUGUUAUUAGGGAAGAACAUAUGUGUAAGUAACUGUGCACAUCUUGACGGUACCUAAUCAGAAAGCCACGGCUAGCUACGUG
rnacentral:rRNA from 1 species